rnacentral:rRNA from 1 species
UACGUAGGGACCAAGCGUUGUUCGGAUUUACUGGGCGUAAAGGGCGCGUAGGCGGCGUGGUAAGUCACUUGUGAAAUCUCUGAGCUUAACUCAGAACGGCCAAGUGAUACUGCUGUGCUAGAGUGCAGAAGGGGCAAUCGGAAUUCUUGGUGUAGCGGUGAAAUGCGCAGAUAUCAGGAGGAACACCGGUGGCGAAGGCGGGUCUCUGGGCAACAACUGACGCUGAGGAGCGAAAGCGUGGGGAGCGAACAGG